rnacentral:tRNA from 2 species
GGUGGGUUGCCCGAGCGGCCUAAGGGAACGGUCUUGAAAACCGUCGUGGUUCACGCCACCGUGGGUUCAAAUCCCACACCCACCGCCA